CCUGGUAUCCCUAACAUUGAUAACUCGUCACAAAGCACGGCAAUAUUUACACUAUUGAAGGCACCUGAGAUGUCAAAAAAUACAGACAAAAGAUAUUGAUUACUUGCUAAACAUUGAUGCGCAUCAAGCUGUAACUGCGCUAUACUCUCCCUAGAAGACCGACCUUUGCGAAAACCAAACUGAUUAUUAGGCAAAAGACAAUUUUGUUCUAUAAAGAACUCGAGACGUUGUUUUAGAAGCUGCUCAAAUAUCUUCCCAACACAAGACGUGAGAGCUAUAGGUCUAUAAGAGUCAGGUAACAUUUUAUUUUUGUCUGGCUUUAAAACUGGGAUUAAACAGUCUGUUUUCCAUUCUGCAGGAAUAGUAUUCUCCUUCCAUAGGCGAUUAAGAUUAUUUAAAAAGAUGUUGAGACUGUGGCAAUUAAGUUUUUUGAGUAAAAUAUAUGGAAUGGUAUCAAGACCGAAAGAUGUAUCUCUUCUAGUAAAUAAAGCGGAUUUUAGUUCUUGUAAAGAAAAAGGCUCUAUCAAAUAUUUAUUACUAUCAUUAACAACAUUUACAUAGUUAGUUAACUCAUUUGAUACAAAGUCAGAAGUAUACUUUUGUAGAAAAUCUGGAAUCCAACUAUCAUUCAACACACUGUCAGGAAUCAUUUAAAACUGCUUCUGUACACCUCUGAUUCCACCAAGGCGACCAAGGAUAUUUAAAAGAUUUUUGUGAACAAGAACUAGUAGCAUUAUUACUAUUAGAACUUUUGGAAAACAGACAGCUAGGGAUUGACUGCUUGGCAGCAGAAAGUAAAAUAUUACAAAAGGAAUUAAAAGCAUCUAUUGAAGAUAAAGUGUCAAAUUUAACAUCAUCCAAAUAAGAAACAACUAAGUUACUAUACAUAUUCCAAUUCACCUGCUUAUAAUUAGGGGAGAUGAUAACUACUGCCCAGAGGACUGUCAAUAACUGACCAGUCACAUAAAAGAGCCAAAGAUGGAGUUACCAAAGUCAAGUCAAGAGCAUUAGGACGCCAAGAUGGAGAUCCUAUUGUGGUAGCUUGACCAUUAUUCAGAAUAACAAGACCAUUCUCAUCUAUAACCUCUAAAACAUCUUUACCUCGAGGCAAUGUAUCAACACAUCCCCACAACAUGUGAUGAGCAUUGAAAUCACCUGCAAAUAUCAUUGGCUCUGGAAUGGACUUAAUUAAACUGUUUAAAUUGUUUUUAUUAAAUGGAGGAUUUGAAUUGGAAGGACUGUAAAAACUCACAAUACUCAGUUCUUUGUUAUUAAUUUUAAUUUUAAUGCAAACAUUUUGUAGAGCACUAUCAUAAUAUGUAUUUAUGUUAGAAAAUGUGAUAUUAUUAUGAAUAAAAAUUGCUACACCA